AGCGAACGCUGGCGGCAUGCUUAACACAUGCAAGUCGCACGGUCGGGGGUAACUCCGGCAGUGGCGGACGGGUGAGUAACGCGUAGGUAUCUAUCCUUGGGUGGGGGACAACCGUGGGAAACUACGGCUAAUACCGCAUAAUGUCUGAGGACCAAAGGCGCAAGUCGCCUGGGGAGGAGCCUGCGUACGAUUAGCUAGUUGGUGGGGUAAAGGCCUACCAAGGCGACGAUCGUUAGCUGGCUGAGAGGAUGAUCAGCCACACUGGGACUGAGACACGGACCAGACUCCUACGGGAGGCAGCAGUGAGGAAUAUUGGUCAAUGGGCGCAAGCCUGAACCAGCCAUGCCGCGUGCAGGAUGAAGCAUCUAUGGUGUGUAAACUGC
rnacentral:rRNA from 1 species